rnacentral:rRNA from 1 species
GGUGAACUUGUGGAAGGAUCUUUAUCGAGUGCGGGUCUCUUGGGCCCAACCUCCCAUCCGUGUCUAUUAUACCCUGUUGUUUCGGCGGGCCCGCCGCUUGUCGGCCGCCGGGGGGGCGCCUUUGCCCCCCGGGCCCGUGCCCGCCGGAGACCCCAACACGAACACUGUCUGAAAGCGUGCAGUCUGAGUUGAUUGAAUGCAAUCAGUUAAAACUUUCAACAAUGGAUCUCUUGGUUCCGGCAUCGAUGAAGAACGCAGCGAAAUGCGAUAACUAAUGUGAAUUGCAGAAUUCAGUGAAUCAUCGAGUCUUUGAACGCACAUUGCGCCCCCUGGUAUUCCGGGGGGCAUGCCUGUCCGAGCGUCAUUGCUGCCCUCAAGCCCGGCUUGUGUGUUGGGUCGCCGUCCCCCUCUCCGGGGGGACGGGCCCGAAAGGCAGCGGCGGCACCGCGUCCGAUCCUCGAGCGUAUGGGGCUUGUCACAUGCUCUGUAGGAUUGGCCGGCGCCUGCCGAC